GGUAGCAUUCAUCGAUCACGG
rnacentral:siRNA from 1 species